GACGAACGCUGGCGGCAUGCCUAAUACAUGCACGUCGUGCGAAUUGACGAAGUACUUGUACUUCUGACGUUAGCGGCGAACGGGUGAGUAACACGUAAGGAAUCUACCUAUAAGCGGGGGAUAACAUUCGGAAACGGAUGCUAAUACCGCAUAAUACAUAUUUCCGCAUGGAAAUACGUUGAAAGACGGCUCUGCUGUCACUUAUAGAUGACCUUGCGUUGCAUUAGUUAGUUGGUGGGGUAAUGGCCUACCAAGACGAUGAUGCAUAGCCGACCUGAGACGGUGAGCGGCCCCAGUGGGACUGAGACACGGCCCAAACUCCUACGGGAGGCAGCAGUAGGGAAUCUUCCGCAAGGGGCGAACGCCUGACGGAGCAAUGCCGCGUGAGUGAAGAAGGCCUUCGGGUCGUAAAACUCUGUUAUAAGAGAAGAACAAAUUGUAGAGUAACUGCUACAGUCUUGACGGUAUCUUAUCAGAAAGCCACGGCUAACUACUUGCCAGCCGCCGCAGUAACAC
rnacentral:rRNA from 1 species